AAGCUUCAUGAUUAGGAACAAGAGCUCGUG
rnacentral:piRNA from 1 species